GAUGAACGCUGGCGGCGUGCCUAAUACAUGCAAGUCGAGCGAACAGACGAGGAGCUUGCUCCUCUGACGUUAGCGGCGGACGGGUGAGUAACACGUGGAUAACCUACCUAUAAGACUGGGAUAACUUCGGGAAACCGGAGCUAAUACCGGAUAAUAUAUUGAACCGCAUGGUUCAAUAGUGAAAGACGGUUUUGCUGUCACUUAUAGAUGGAUCCGCGCCGCAUUAGCUAGUUGGUAAGGUAACGGCUUACCAAGGCAACGAUGCGUAGCCGACCUGAGAGGGGGAUCGGCCACACUGGAACUGAGACACGGUCCAGACUCCUACGGGAGGCAGCAGUAGGGUAUCUUACGCAAUGGGCGAAAGCCUGACGGAGCGACGCCGCGUGAGUGAUGAAGGUCUUCGGAUCGUAAAACUGUGUUAUUAGGGAAGAACAAAUGUGUAAGUAACUAUGCACGUCUUGACGGUACCUGAUCAGAAAGCCACGGCUAACUACGUG
rnacentral:rRNA from 1 species